rnacentral:lncRNA from 1 species
CUACACCCAGUACACCAGUGGCACGAUCAACACCUGAUAAAAACGUGUUUUCAUGAAAAUAAAGGCAAAGGAGAAACGAAGUCGAGAAGAGAAGAAGGGAGAAGGAACGUGAAACCUGAAAAUGGAAGUCCUGAAACGAAGGAGAAACGGGAGUGCACUGAAGGAGCGAGCAAAGACGUACACGUCAAAUUGAAGGAGAACCGCCAAAGGCACCUAACGCACUGAUGAAAGGGAAGGGAUGAAGCCUUAGCGCACUGUGAACGGAGGAGAAGGAGCCCUAAAGUACUGUGAACGGAGGAGAAGGAGCCUAACGUUGAUGAAACGAAGGACAAGAGCCCUAGCCAUUGAUCAAACGGAGGAGAAGCGCGAAUCAAACCAAGGAACAACGCGAAGAAGCAACGCUAGUGAAAGCGAGGAGCAGAGCGCGAGAGGAAGCUUGGAGAACGUCAAAUUGCAAGCAGAGUAGUAGCGGGAACGGGGAGUAUUUUAAUCACUAUAGAUAGCGCUUACUAUAAAGAGCGCUAUCUAUUUGGUUAUUAUGAAUAUAUUUUAAAAUAUUAAUUAAAAAAAAAAUAUUAAAUAGAUAUAGAUAGCGAUUUUCCAAACAAGCGCUAUCUAUUAUCAUAGACAUAGAUUGCGCGCUUUUAAACAAGCGCUAUCUAUGCUUCCGCAUAUCAAUAGAUAGCGCUAUCUAUUGAGCGCUAUCUAUUCUCCAUUUUGUAGUAGUGAACCCUCUCUAGUCCCCGCGCACGAGGAUAGGGUGACACUCGAAUCUCAGUCUCCGUAGAGAACUCAACACACUAUCGUAUCGCAAUACGAACACCACUGGUUNGACAAAAAUUCUAAGGAAAUGACAGAACACUUGCUCUCACAACUUCACCAUCACAACCAUACACAUAUCACCCGCAUAUACAAAAGUCAACCAAAUUCAUUGACCAACAAUUAGUUAAAAAUACUCAAAUAAUUAAAUCAAUCAAUUUUCACAAUAAAAUAAAUUUAAUUAUUUUCCUACUGGCGUACCCCCGUGAAAUUAUUAUCUCACCCUCCCAUCCACUAGAAUCAAUAUUUCUAGUGCACCCCCAUUUUUACUAAAAUUACAACACAAAAUAAAACACUUUUUAAUGUACCCCUUUUUAUCUUAAAUACAGUUCCUCUCAUAAAUCUACCAACCCAAGUGGACCCAUUAGUCCUUUUAAUUAAAAAAUCAAACUUUAUUUUUUUUUCUCCAAAUGGACCCACUUGAAAUAAAUUUUUCUCACAAAAACUCUUUUUUCUCUCUCUCGUUUUCCUACUUUUACGUAACAUCUCUCUUCUUCCCCUCUUUCUCUUUUUAUUUUAUUUUUUUCAAUUAAACCAAAAUUCACCUCACCCACCUUUCACACCAAAAUUGCCGUGGAUCCCACUCACUUUUCUAGAUCAACUUUUCUUCUCUUUUCUAAGACUAAAAGGCCAAUCUCUGUCCCAUUCAAUUACCAUUCACGUAACACACAUCCCAUGCAUUCUCAAACUUUUUUUUUUCUAUUUCAACACAAAAACAAUACUUCAUUCUCUUUCUUCUCUUCAUCUUUCUUUUUUCUAACCAUUACGUAACCCAACACACACUCUUCUAAAUUUCAUUUUUCAUUCCCCUUUGACUUUUCAUCACCAUUUAACUAAUAUUUCUCCCAUUCAUUCUCGUCAAACUCAUCCACACACCUUCUCUCAAACUUUCACCUUUUCUUCUUAAAUAAAAACCCAAGACAACAUUUUUCCCUUCUUUUUUCUCACUCUCAACAUGUUUCUUUCACGCUGCAACAUCCCAACACUCCUUCCCCUUCAUGUUCUUCUUCCUCCAAUGACAUCAAGCUUCUUCUUUCUUCACCAUUUCAUCAACCCCAUAUACCCCAUCUCACAAAAACAUCACUUUCACUCCUCUCAUACUCAUAACUCACUCCUUUCUCUUCCAACAAUAGAAGAGAACUCUCAAUACCCUCCUACCCACACUCUUGGUCAAAGAGUGUAGAUAAGCAUCCCACAAAAAUAUUAUAAUUCAUAUAUGGAAAUAAGGAAACAAGAUGCACACAAUAUAACAUGAUUUUAAGUGUACCCAUAAAACUUUUUCAUACACAUACAUCACCCCAAAGUGCCCAAAACAUGUAUACCCAUUUUAACAACAACACUUUUUGAAAAGCCAACAUAUAAAGUUCAAGGUAUACCCAUAACUACAAAAAAAAAACGAAAAUCAAUAUAUAUAUAUAUAUAUAUCACCCAAAGUAUACCCCUUCACAACCCAAUUUUGAAAAUGCAUGAAUAUAAUCAUUCUCCAUAUAACAACACAUGAAACUAAUUACAAAAAGAGAGAGCAUGCAUCAACAUAUUUACUUUAAUCUCAACACAAAAAAGAAACAUGCAUCAAUCUAAUCAUGUUACCUUCUACCCAUCAUACACUAUAUUAUAUCCCAAGUUAAAUCCCUUACCUCUAUUCCAAGCUAGUCUCCAAGGUUCUUAGGUUUCUUUCCUUCUUUAGACUCCAAGCCCUUCACCCUUCUAGGUUCCCUUCAAGUUUCGUCCAACUCCAAAGCUAGUUUGAGUACUUUCUUUCUCUCACCAACUUGGUUGUUUCUCACAAAGAAAUGUUUCUCUCCACUCAACUUACGACUUUCUCUCUUUCUUUUCCACUCUCUCACCAAGUUUCUCUAAC